CCCUCCCUCUCUUCCUCUUUCCUUUCUUCUGUCCUUCCACAGCUCUAAUCAUUUUAUAACAGACCACACAAAUGGAUGGCUCAUUGUGUUUGCUGUGGACUUUCACCAUCUCACUGUGCCCUGUCUCCCUGCAUACCUCCCUCCCCAGCACAUAAGCUCCACGAGGGUAGCAAUCAAUCUUUGCCUAUUCUGUUGACUGAUGUAUCCUGAAUACCCAAAACAGAAGGUGGCAUGUCACAAGUGCUCAAUACAUAUUUGUUGAAUGAAUGAAGCCAUGAAUGAAAGAAGGAAUCACAGGGAUUCCAAAGGAACUGCCAGGGCCCUCUUCUUUACUGGAUUCCUAGCUUGUCCUACAGUCUGGGUGGCCCUUGCACAUUCUCCUGGCCGCCUCAGUUCCUGCCACUCUGGGCUGAGCUUAAUGUGCUACUGGGGUCAACCCACAUCCUGCUGGCCACUCUGAGUCCAACAGGGUCCAUCUCAGGUGUGGGAGACACCAUUGCUCCCUAGUUGUGCCAAGCCAUCCAUGAAGCCACUAAAACGGCAGGGCUCUGAGCCCAGCACACGGACUGACUCUUCAUUUUCUACUUGGCAGGAGGCACUUGAAGUACAGACAAAGAGAAAAGUCUACCAAGGAAAGGGAGAAGAGCAAGCUGAGGACGCCAAAGAAUCUUGUUUGGGAUCUGCAGAUAGCAACAAGAAUCUUUAAUAACCAGAGACAACACAGGAAGAUACUGGGCUUAGGUCUUGACUUCCAUAUGCUUGCAAAUUCUGCUGGGAAAGAAAACAGAAGAGGAAAAUGGAAAUUGCAUGCUUUCACUUGGUCCUGCCCCAAGCACCUUCAGGACAGGUGCUGUGUCACGCUGCUGCCCCUGAGGCAUAUGGCUGGUCCCCGGCUGUCCUAGACUGCUCGUCAAGUCCCCCUGCCUCGACCUGUGCUCUGGAGGACUGGUGACUCUCCAGUACCAUUGGAUGGGGCUUCCAUGUGGAAUGGCCAGAGGGGCUGGACAUUUUCUGAGACACAGACUAUGGCUGGCUGCUUUUGGUUGGUGGUCCCAUGAAGCCAGCCACAAGCAGAACCCCUGGACACUGACUCAGUUUCCCCAAGACUACUUGACUGAGGGAGGGCUCAUCAACCCUGGCAGGUUUUUCUCAAACAACUCCCUGUCCUCCCGGUCCUCACCUCACCUGCAUCCUGUGCCCUCCAUCCCCACCAGGAGGGAGGAGAAAACCAACCCCAAUGGUGCCCGCAUCUGGAAUUAUCUCCCUGGCGCUCAGGUCAACAGCCUUUCCAAGAACACUCGAUGUGAGCAUCUGCAGCCUUUGCUUCUCAUUUCCUCCUAAGAGGAGCCCCUGGGAUGCUAUGAAGGAAAGCAUAUGGAGGGCAAAGGAGACUCACAGAUUAAUGCUUGGAAUUCUGUCCCAUGACAUCCCAUGCUCUGACCUUGUGGCACAGGGCCUUUGGAUGCCGCAAGUGGUCAUAGAGGCUGACAGCGCAUGUGCCCCAUGUUGAGCUGGACUUCUUCUAAGCAGCUACAGUAUCAGCUUAUUGAGUCUCCAUGACAGCCCCAUGUUGACCUGGCUUCUUCUAAGCCGUUACAGUAUCAGCUCAUUGAAUCUUCACCACAGCCCCAUGUUGACCUGGGCUUCCUCUAAGCAGCUACAGUAUCAGCUCAUUGAAUCUCCGUGACAGCCCCAUGUUGACCUGGCUUCUUCUAAGCAGCUACAGUAUCAGUUCAUUGAAUCUUCACCACAGCCCUGUGUUGACCGGGGCUUCUUCUAAGCAGCUACAGUAUCAGCUCAUUGAAUCUUCGCAACAUCAUGCAUGGCAGAUCUAACAAUUGUCACCCUUGUUUACAGAUGAGGAAACUGAGGCACAACUGGCAAGUGGCAGAAACUGGUUAAAUGCUCAAUGAGUAGUUGUUGAAUCUUAGAAGGAAGAGGAAGCUCGUUCCGCUCCGCAGCAGCGGCAGGGUGGGGCUGCCCUGACCCACCUACACUGUCUUUGAGCAUUUGGUGCCAUUUUGGGAUAGUGAGGUUCCUUUUCACAGGGGAAGCUGCAGUGUCUCCCGGGGAUGGUAGCCUUUUCGAGAAGCACAACCAGUUAGCUUGCAGAAGUGGGGACGCGACUGUUCUGCAUCUCCCUCUCCACGCACCCCCACUUGCAGAAACAGCCAGCCGCUCUGUCACUGAACCUGCACGAAAUGCCCUGUGUCUUAGGAAAAUGAACAGUGUCUGUUUAUCCAAGAUGAAUCUACUCUAGAUAAGAAUGUAUCAACCUCAGACCACAUUGUGUCUGCAAAUAUUUUUCUCCGUUUCCCGAUUGUUUAAUGGACAAAGCGGGUUUGGGGGAGCUGGGGAGAGUUGGGCAGUUCUCACUGAGCACCAGUCCUUGUUCUUGAGCCUGUAGUUUUUGUCUCCACGGCUGCAGAGACUGGCCAGGGUCUCAUCUGCCAUCCACCUUCAGAAUGGUGGAAACAGUUGAAAAGAACAUUGCAGUGAAGCUUGGGCUGGUUUGCAAGCAGGUCGCAUCUUAGAAACCCUCCUUGCCGCUUUCAUGGCAAAUGCUCACUUUCUCCAGACCCCCUUGCUUGUGUGGGCAGGGGUCGGCAUGCACGGGGUUCCUUUUUAGAAUAUGGGUGCAAAUAUCACAACAGUUUGCAUAAGUCUCCAACCGCUUUUUCCUCCUGUGAAUCAAACUUGCUUUUUUCCCGGUUAGAAUAUUGUGAAAGCAAAACAAACAAAUAAACAACAACAACAAAAAAGAUGUGGGUUGGUUCGCCUGCUUGUGCGUAUUUCUUUCAGUGGGGUCAAUGAAUCCCCCAUUGUUUGCUCCUACAGGCCCCUCAUUGUGUCCAUGGGUAGCCCUGUACCAGGUAAUGAAAGGAUUUCUCUU
rnacentral:lncRNA from 1 species